UACGUAGGGUGCAAGCGUUGUCCGGAAUUAUUGGGCGUAAAGAGCUCGUAGGCGGUCUGUCGCGUCUGGUGUGAAAAUCCAGGGCUUAACCCUGGACCUGCAUCGGGUACGGUCAGACUAGAGUGCGGUAGGGGAGAUCGGAAUUCCUGGUGUAGCGGUGAAAUGCGCAGAUAUCAGGAGGAACACCGGUGGCGAAGGCGGAUCUCUGGGCCGUAACUGACGCUGAGGAGCGAAAGCAUGGGGAGCGAACAGG
rnacentral:rRNA from 1 species